rnacentral:rRNA from 1 species
UACAGAGGUGGCAAGCGUUGUUCGGAAUUACUGGGCGUAAAGGGCGCGUAGGCGGUCCGAUAAGUCCCGUGUGAAAUCCCUCGGCUCAACUGAGGAAUGGCACGGGAAACUGCCGGGCUUGAGUUCGGGAGAGGGAAGCGGAAUUCCGGGUGUAGCGGUGAAAUGCGUAGAUAUCGUAAGGAAGACCAGUGGCGAAGGCGGGUCUCUGGACAGUUCCUGACGCUGAGGCACGAAGGUCAGGGGAGCAAACGGG